rnacentral:rRNA from 1 species
ACGGAAGGCAGCAGUGGGGAAUAUUGGGCAGUGGGCGAAAGCCUGACCCAGCAACGCCGCGUGAAGGAAGAAGGUCUUCGGAUUGUAAACUUCUUUUAUGGGGGACGAACAAAUGACGGUACUCCAUGAAUAAGCCACGGCUAACUACGUGCCAGCAGUCGCGGUAAUACGUAGGUGGCAAGCGUUAUCCGGAUUUACUGGGUGUAAAGGGCGCGUAGGCGGGAAAGCAAGUCAGAUGUGAAAUCCGUGAGCUCAACUCAUGAACUGCAUUUGAAACUGUUUUUCUUGAGUGUCGGAGAGGUAGAUGGAAUUCCUAGUGUAGCGGUGAAAUGCGUAGAUAUUAGGAAGAACACCAGUGGCGAAGGCGAUCUACUGGACGAUAACUGACGCUGAGGCGCGAAAGCGUGGGGAGCAAACAGGAUUAGAUACCCUGGUA